ensembl:lncRNA
CAAGGUUCAGCAGGGCUGGUUUCUCCUGAGGGCGGGGAGGGACAGCCUGUUCUAGGCCUCUCUCCCAACUUCUGGUGUUUCCUGGCAGUCUUUGGUGUUUCUUGGCUUGCGGUUCUCUGCCUUCAUCUUCACAUGAUGUUCUUCCUGUGUGCCUGUCUAUCUUCAAAUUCCCCCCUUUUGCAAGAACACCAGUCAUAGUUCACUGGGGCCUACCCGAAUGACUCCAUAUCAACUUGAUUACCUUCUGUAAAGACCUGAUCUCUGAGUAGGGCCCAUUCUGGGGUACUGGGACUUGAGACCCAACAUUUUUCUUUCUCUUCUGGAGACCCCAUUCACUCCAUAGUGUUAUGACUCAGGAACGUGAUGACUUGUCUCUGUCGUGUGAGCUCACCUGAGCAUCCUUCCUCUGUGGAAAAUAGAGCUUCUGUUCAAGGACCAAACUUCACCAUGACAAACGACUCUGGUUUUAAACCAUUUUCGAGAGAAGGGAUGCUGCCCUGGAAUUGCUGCAGGCUCCCUGGGAUCCCUGGCUGUGUCGUGGAAAAGACACUUAGGCUGGAGACUGAGACUCUAGUCCAGACUUUCUGCUUCCUGAUUAUGUCAUCUUAAGUCAUGUGACCUCUCUGAGUUUCUGUUUCUUCAUUGGUAAAACCAAGAAGAUGAUAGUGAUGACGAUAUUACUUACCUGGCUUACCUUAAAAGUGCUGACUGGGACAAUGAUGUUGCACCUAUUUAGGGGGGUUUAUUUGCUAUCUAUCUCUUCUUGGGUGAAGUGACCAUUCAAAUCUUUCACCCAUUAAAAAAAAAAAGUGAAAGUGAAAACACAACAGAUUGUUGGACUUCUCUGGUGGUCCAGUGGUUAAGAAUCUGCCUGCCAAUGCAGGGGAGAUGGAUUCAACCCCUGGUCCAGGAAGACUCCAUAUACUGAGGGGCAACUAAGCCUGUGUGUGAUAACUGCUGACACCCGCACACUCCAGAGCCUGUGUUCUGCGACAAGAGAAGCCACUACAACGGGAGGCCUGCUGACCACAACUAGAGAGUAGCCCCUACUUGCUGGAAGUAGAGAAAGCCCUCAGGCAGCAACAAAGACCAGGCACAAUCAAAAAAUAAAACACAUACCUUUAAAAAAUGAUUGUUUGUU